AUGCAUUGGCUAUCUUGGGAGAAACUUGCAUCACCAAAGUGUCAGGAUGGAAUGGGCUUUCACGAUCUUCAAUUAUUCAACUUGGCACUACUUGGUAAGCAUGGAUGGAGGUUUAUUCCAAAUCCUAACUCUUUAUGUGCCCAAGUGAUGAAGGGGCGCUAUUUUCCGGAUUGUGAUUUCAUGGAGGCUUCAAUACUACAAACAUCAUCGGCUAUUUGGCGAGCAAUCAUCACCGGGAGGGAAUCUCUCCGUGUUGGUCUUCUUAAGAGGGUGGGGGACGGCAGUACUAUCUCAAUAUGGGAAGAUAAGUGGAUCCCGGGCCUCUCCUCCUUGUCCCCAACGAUGAUACCGGGAGGGACGACCCUUGUCUUACACUCCUUGUCGCACGAAUGGUGUCUGUAA
rnacentral:rRNA from 1 species